AGGACGAACGCUGGCGGCAUGCCUAAUACAUGCAAGUCGAGCGAAUCUUUAAAGGAGCUUGCUCCUUUAAAGAUUAGCGGCGGAUGGGUGAGUAACACGUGGGCAACCUGCCCUACAGAUGGGGAUAACUCCGGGAAACCGGGGCUAAUACCGAAUAAACAGUUUGUCCGCAUGGACAAACUCUGAAAGACGGUUUCGGCUGUCACUGUAGGAUGGGCCCGCGGCGCAUUAGCUAGUUGGUGGGAUAACGGCCUACCAAGGCAACGAUGCGUAGCCGACCUGAGAGGGUGAUCGGCCACACUGGGACUGAGACACGGCCCAGACUCCUACGGGAGGCAGCAGUAGGGAAUCUUCCACAAUGGACGGAAGUCUGAUGGAGCAAUGCCGCGUGAGCGAAGAGGUUUCGGAUCGUAAAGCUCUGUUGUGAGGGAAGAACAAGUACGGGAGUAACUGCCCGUGCCUUGACGGUACCUCAUUAGAAAGCCACGGCUAACUACGUGCCAGUAG
rnacentral:rRNA from 1 species